CCAACGUCCACCAGGGGGCGCCCUCUCCUCGCCCUGGGAGCUGGAUGUUCUAGGGAGAGCGCAAGCAUCAGGCGUGUGUCUCUUCCUCCCUCAUCUCCCCGGCUAACCAAUGGGAGCGGGUUUCCUACUCCUGCAUCGCCCAGGAGUCAGAGCUGCAGCUGCAACGUGUGUGAGACAGGAAGCCAGAGACACAGGGACUGCAGCUGGAGGCCCAGGGAUCUCAUCAAACCGGCUGCUGCUGGUGCAGAGAGAUUCUGGGGCUGCGGAGAAGGUGGAAGGAAAAUGUCUGAAAGGGUUUCUGGCUUGCAGGUGCUGAUUGGUCAGGACUUGCAACAAGCUUGAAUGAGAGAGGCUGAGUGAUUUUGAUGCAAUGUCCGAUUGGUCAAAUGCUAAGCAUGGCCUUGGUGAGGAAUUGACUUCAGGAAUCAUCAGGUGAUUUGAUAAAUUCCCCACCUGUCUUGUCCCUGGUGCAUGCAUGGUAAAUUGAAAAUGGUGCGCACCUUUGCUGCAAGAUUGCCGUACUUCGUAUUACAAUGUAUAAUGUUUGUACAGUGUGUAAAAUGUCUGUGCUCAUCUGUGAUUUACAAUGUCAUUCUAUAGCACCAUUGAUCACCACUUUAAAAAACACAUGCAAUUCUUGUGCACAUUUAUAUGGAGGCUCCUGGGUGUUUGUUUUUUGCAUAUGAUUUAAAUAAUAAUAUAACAGUUGUGACAGCUACUGUGGGUACCCUGAUGAUGAGCCCUGCACAUGCCUAGAUAAAUAGAAUGCUUUAGUUAAGUUUGGGAAGACAUUUCUUUGUUCUCUCUCUCAAAAAUGCAUCACUCUACAGCACUAGUCCAAACCACUCCCAUUGACAGUAGCGAUACUGCAGAGUUUGGGGAAAUGACUGUUGUAUGUGGUGUCUUUUGAUAGGUAAAUUCUUUUAAAACAACAAUUUCUUGGGGUGUUUUUCCCCCUGAAACUUCAGGUCUGAUCUCAUUCAAAGCUGGGUGAGUAAUGAAAAUAGUGUGUUAAUUUGAGUCCGCUAACCUACUCAUGGCAGGCUCCUUUUUGUAUAUGUUCAUUAUUUGCCCAGCCCCACAAAUAGGAAGAAUGCCAGUGAGAAUUGUCAAAUAAUUAAAAAAAAAUUCAACAAAUAAAAUCAAAUAUUGGAGAGAGCUUGAACCUCA
rnacentral:lncRNA from 1 species